rfam:Nosema apis BRL 01 unplaced genomic scaffold scf7180000046794, whole genome shotgun sequence.
GCAUCGUUAGUUUAGUGGUAUAAUUGUCGGUUGCCAUCCGAUAGACGUGGGUUCGAUUCCCGCACGAUGCA